GAUGAAGAACGUAGCGAAAUGCGAUAAGUAAUGUGAAUUGCAGAAUUCAGUGAAUCAUCGAAUCUUUGAACGCACAUUGCGCCCGCCAGUAUUCUGGCGGGCAUGCCUGUUCGAGCGUCAUUUCAACCCUCAAGCCCAGCUUGGUGUUGGGGAUCGGCACAGGCGCUCUCGGGCGCCCGCCGUCCCCUAAAUCUAGUGGCGGUCCCGCUGCAGCCUCCUCUGCGUAGUAGUUUUCUCCUCGCAAGGGCAGCUCGGUGGCGACCUCGCCGUAAAACCCCCAACUUCUGAAAGGUUGACCUCGAAUCAGGUAGGAAUACCCGCUGAACUUAAGCAUAUCAAUAAGCGGAGGA
rnacentral:misc_RNA from 1 species